GUAAUUUACAAUUUUGGUCCUUAUGAUUUUUAAUGUAAUUAUCAGUGGCUUGUUUACAACUAUCUUGGAGAGGGGUGAUGAAAUGACUUUUCUCUGAUCCAAAGUCUACUGCCAAAGUUUAUAUGCUAUGUAAUAGUCAACACAAAUGUUCAAAGAAUCAAAUGCUAGGAGAAAAGACAAUUUCCGAAGACCAGUAUGCAAACACGGAAUAAGUAAGUGGCACUUGGUUUGCCUAAUUCAAUGAGAUUGAAUAGGAAUCGGAAUCCAAUUCCAUUCCAAUCCUUCUUUCGGAUGCAAGAUAUGAAACAAUAGAAAAGAUAUAUUCGGAAAUGCAAAAUAUGAGAGGAAAUGCAGAAAUAUGUUUAUAUUAUACUUUGAAAUC